GGGGGGGGCGCAGGCACUUGUGCCGGCGCAGCCUCUCGCAUCAAGUGAGGACUAAUCCCAUCCCUGGGCCUGCUCUCUGUUCCCUUCCUGCAUUAGAGAUUGGCUAUAAGGAGAAGGCUGACGGCUGCAGCAUGAAGCGCAUUAUUACCUUGUGAUUCCAUGACCCUCCUCUAUGCAUCCCUAACUCUCGAAAGCUGAUUCAGCUUUCAGCUAGUGCUCUGGUGAGUCCUCUGCUGCAACAGAAGCUCCUAACUGCCGUAGCCUCUAAGAAGCUUAAAUAAAUCCUGACUGCCUGAAAGUGAAGCCAUUUGAACCAGUGCAGCAUCAGGCAGCAAGUUCAGAAGAGGUCCAGGCAGCUGGGAAAGAAAAGACCCUGAAGAAUUCCCCUCUGCUGCCGCAGCCCAUGAGGCCAAAUGCUUUGCUAAAGCUGGUAAAAUGGAACCAAAUCAACUGUUCAAUGGAUUUGGUCCCCUUCAACCAGCUGUAGCUGUGCAUUGAUCUCUCAGAUGCACCUUGGAGGCUGAAACACUUGAACCCGACCAGGGCGACUCAGGUAGAAGACGUGAACGCUGCUGAUAAGGACAUGAUGAUGACUGGCAUCUGCAGAUCUAUCACUCGGGCUCUAAACUGGUGGGCUGAGCCUGAGUCAUUAUGUGGUUGCCAGUCAAUUCUGCCUAACGGAGACCACUCAAGAUUGAUAAUCUCUACCAUCCUCCUAUUAUUGAUCUCAGCUGUAACACAGGACUGUGUAUUUCCACUGCAAAUGCUGUGCGUUUUCAUAUGUAUUUGCUCACACCCACCCAGGAGCCCUGUGCCUCAGUGUUUCAUCUGCUGCAAUGAAGAAUAAAGGUUUUGAUCUGAA